GAGGGUAUAGCUCAGUGGUAGAGCACGUGCUUAGCAUGCAUGAGGUUCGAGGUUCAAUCCCCAGUACCUCUA
rnacentral:tRNA from 1 species